GACAGGAAAAAACAAAUCCACAUCUCAGAGACACAAAUGUUGCAAGCGCAAACCACAGGGGGUUAUUUUCUGUCUUUUUACCAGUGCAGGUGCACCUAAAGAAGCUGCGUGCUGUUCUGAUUUCUGAAGAGAUUCUGCUGUUAAAAAACCAGAAAAAGCAACUCACUGGAGAGGACUACAAACUGUCUCUUGCUGCUUCUUGGAAAUAACUCCAGCCCAGAUGAGGAGAGAGAGACCCCGACAGGACCAAGUGAGCUAUGCUGGGAAGAUGGAGGUCUACCCAUUGAGCUGCAGAGAGGGAUGGAGACUCUGCAGGUGAAGAGAGAGCUGACCGAUGUGAUACUGAGUGUUCAAGGACAUGACUUCCCUUGUCAUAGGGCCAUACUUGCAACUGCCAGUCAGUACUUCAGGGCAAUGUUUUGCAGUGGUCUGAAGGAGAGUCAUGAGGAGUGAGAGCAAAUAAAGGGGCUGGACAGUGGGACAAUGCAAUCUCUCUUAGAGUAAAAAAGUGGAGUCAGAUGAACUGAUAUGCUGCUGCAGUG